UACGUAGGGUGCGAGCGUUGUCCGGAAUUAUUGGGCGUAAAGAGCUCGUAGGCGGUUUGUCGCGUCGGCUGUGAAAACUGGGGGCUUAACUCUCAGCUUGCAGUUGAUACGGGCAGACUUGAGUUCGGUAGGGGAGACUGGAAUUCCUGGUGUAGCGGUGAAAUGCGCAGAUAUCAGGAGGAACACCGGUGGCGAAGGCGGGUCUCUGGGCCGAUACUGACGCUGAGGAGCGAAAGCGUGGGGAGCGAACAGG
rnacentral:rRNA from 1 species